AGCAACCCUGCCUGCGAAGAUGCUAUCAGACGAGAGAUUGCCACUGGCAAGGUAGUGGAGAAAGUAUGCGCCAACCCAAGCCUGCCACUGCACAAUGACCUUUUUAAACCACCAACUGCACAUUUGCCAUCACGCCGCCCACUAUGGUCUCAUCUGCCAUGCCAGGAUAUUAGGGCGGAAACUCUCUGACGAGAGGAAUGGAUAUCUCUGACCCCACAGU